UACGAAGGGGGCUAGCGUUGUUCGGAAUCACUGGGCGUAAAGGGUGCGUAGGCGGGUUAUUAAGUCAGAGGUGAAAUCCUGGAGCUCAACUCCAGAACUGCCUUUGAUACUGAUAGUCUUGAGUAUGGGAGAGGUGAGUGGAACUGCGAGUGUAGAGGUGAAAUUCGUAGAUAUUCGCAAGAACACCAGUGGCGAAGGCGGCUCACUGGCCCAUUACUGACGCUGAGGCACGAAAGCGUGGGGAGCAAACAGG
rnacentral:rRNA from 1 species